ACUUGUUCUUUAAAUGAGGACUAGUAUGAAUGGCACCACGAGGGUUGCACUGUCUCCUUCCCCUAAUCAAUGAAACUAAUCUUCCCGUGAAGAAGCGGGAAUUUAUUUAUAAGACGAGAAGACCCUAUGGAGCUUUAAAUUUCUCUUCAAACGCCAGACAUAAACCCUAAACAUCUUACACCAACCCGGCGCCAUGAAGAUGAAUUUUAGGUUGGGGUGACCACGGAGAACAAGACAACCUCCAUGCUGAAUAGGCCUAAAACCUUGAACUAAGGACCACAGCCCGACGAACUAAAAAAUUAACACCCAUUGACCCAAUUCUUUUUGAUCAACGAACCAAGUUACCCUAGGGAUAACAGCGCAAUCUACUUCAAGAGUCCUUAUCGACAAGUGG
rnacentral:rRNA from 1 species